GCUGUUGCUGGCAAUCAGUCUGUGAGCAGGAGUUAAUGGACUUUAUUUAACUCAAUUGUGAGAGAACUUGUGGAGGUGAGCGCGAGGAGCUGAAGCCAGGCUGUAAUGAGCUUUUUUUCUUUUUUUACUUGUUCACAUGUGCUCUUUGAGCGGUAUAGUUACUGCAUUGUGUGCAUGAUAGAAAAGGU